rnacentral:tRNA from 1 species
GGCCUGGUGGUCUAGUAGUAUGAUUCCUUCUUAGGGUUUAAACCAAUUGGAGGAGGUCCCGGGUUCAAUUCCCGGCCAGGCCC